GUAGGGAAUUUUCGUCAAUGGGGGGAACCCUGAACGAGCAAUGCCGCGUGAGUGAAGACGGUUUUCGGACUGUAAAGCUCUGUUGUAAGAGAAAAACGGCCGACAUAGGGAAUGAUGUCGGAGUGAUGGUAUCUUACCAGAAAGUCACGGCUAACUACGUGCCAGCAGCCGCGGUAAUACGUAGGUGGCGAGCGUUAUCCGGAAUGAUUGGGCGUAAAGGGUGCGUAGGCGGUACGGUAAGUCUGUAGUAAAAGGCGGCAGCUCAACUGUCGUAGGCUAUGGAAACUGUCGAACUAGAGUGCAGAAGAGGGCGAUGGAACUCCAUGUGUAGCGGUAAAAUGCGUAGAUAUAUGGAAGAACACCAGUGGCGAAGGCGGUCGCCUGGUCUGUAACUGACGCUGAAGCACGAAAGCGUGGGGAGCAAAUAGGA
rnacentral:rRNA from 1 species